rnacentral:tRNA from 1 species
GCGGUAGGUGGCGUGGCGGGGGCGUGCCCGCUCCUUGCGGGAGCGGCGGUCCGGCCGCUCGCCCGGCCCUCGCCCCGCC